CCAAUAGCGUAUAUUAAAGUUGUUGCAGUUAAAAAGCUCGUAGUUGAAUUUCGGGGUUAGUAGGUUGGUUAUGCCUCUGGUAUGUACUGGUCUCACUGAUUCCUCCUUCCUGAUGAGCCGUAAUGCCAUUAAUUUGGUGUUGCGGGGAAUUUGGACUGUUACUUUGAAAAAAUUAGAGUGUUUAAAGCAAGCUAACGCUUGAAUACAUUAGCAUGGAAUAAUGAAAUAGGACGUUCGAUCCUAUUUUGUUGGUUUCUAGGAUUGACGUAAUGAUUAAUAGGGAUAGUUGGGGGCAUUAGUAUUCAAUUGUCAGAGGUGAAAUUCUUGGAUUUAUUGAAGACUAACUACUGCGAAAGCAUUUGCCAAGGAUGUUUUCAUUAAUCAAGAACGAAAGUUAGGGGAUCGAAGACGAUCAGAUACCGUCGUAGUCUUAACCAUAAACUAUGCCGACUAGGGAUCGGAUGAUGUUAAUUUUUUAAUGACUCAUUCGGCGCCUUACG
rnacentral:rRNA from 1 species